UUUCAAAAUUUUUCUCCAUUUCUAUUGUUAAAAAUAGGAAUGACUAACAGAAUAACUAGACAACUACAAAUGGCAUGCCAUGUGUACCUCAUGUCGAUGUACAGGGACUAGUUUUUAACGGUAAAAAUGGAUGAAAUUUAGCUA
rnacentral:pre_miRNA from 1 species